GUGCGGGCCUUCUCCUCCAUUUCCUGAUUUUUCGAGAACCUUAGAGAGAGGGAAGAGUGAGAGAGAGAACCAGAUUCCUUCAUGUGUCUUCCCUCUUAGUUUGUUAGUCGAUGACUGUGGGUACGCCUCUAGCUCGUCGCAGUCGCUGGCCGAGAUUGAAGAUUUGAAGGAGACUUUAUACAGAGCACUGGUUGUUAACGGCAGUUCUGUUAGCCCUUGGCACACUAUGGUUCACCUAGCUAGUAAGGUGCUCAUAGGAGGUGCUAGCCCCUUGCGAUGGCCAAUGCAUGUGGAACGGAGGGAUGGUUAUUCCAUAAUUGAUGUUGUACCUUCUGCUGACUUUUGAGGGCGCAUUGCUGGAUUGAUUAGAAGAUCUUUUGAGGAUACAUUACUUUUGAUGUAGUUCUUAAUUAUAUAUUAUAUUUUGAAUUUAUGAUUAAUUGCUCUAUGUUAAUUAGAGGAAGGAUUGUUAUCUGAAUUUUGUUUGUCUGUCUGUUUUGGAGAAGUAGAGUUUUGCAUUUAUGAUUUGGGCUAUAUAUAGUUAUUGUAGAAACUUAGGGAGGUCUUAAUUAUAAAGAAGGUUUUGCUAAAUUUUCUAUUGAAGGUUUAGGAAGUCGUUUGUGAAAAUGAAAAUAUUACAAUAAUUUUCAAAUUGUAUUUCAUAUAAAAUGAGAUAUUAGAUUUGAGAUUUUUUUUAAUUAAGGCUUAAGGGAUGUGUGUCUAUGUAUACGUCUCGUGCCGGUCAUGUUUAAUUUUUGGGAUGUGACAACACAAAUGAGAUAUAGAAUCAAAUAAGAAGUAAAAUUUUUCAAAUUUGUUACAAAUUGAUUGAGAUCAUGAAUAUUUUUUUAGUCAAUUGAAAUAACUCUGUGAAAAGAGAGAGAUAAUUAAGUGGUUAAAAUAUCCUAAAUACUCUAUAAUAGAGUGGAGUUGUUGAAAUAAUAUACUGUUAGACAUGGUUAAGUUAAUAAUGGUAUAGACAAGUCCACAAAAUUCAUGUUAAGGAUACUUGAGUAAUAGCUAUUGUCAAAUAUAACCAUGUGCCCUCAAAGUUAGUCAUGUCCACAACCUUUAACUUAUGAACAAAAAGCAAAUUAGAUUUAAAUAUCCUUAAAUCAUGAGGAUUAGUUGCAUAUGUCUAUGAUAAUUCUCAUGAAUAUGGAAAACAAAAGUCCACAAGGGAAGGAAUGCAUUUUUAUUAGAUAUUAUGAGCAAUCAAAGGGCUAAGUUUUUAUGAGUGAAAACAAAGUUGGAAUUAUGAUUGAAUUUGAAUUGAGGACACCACAUUUCUUGAAGAUUGAAUUCCUUACUCUAGAAGAAAUUAUGUGUGCUGUAUAUCUUCAUGAGAUACAGGAUAAGGCAAUACAUAACAAGAUAAAGACCUUAAUCCCCCUAGCAUAUGUUGAUGUGAGUUGGAGAUAAGAGAAUAAUAGAGAAGGUGUCCCUGAGAAACACUUUCAUAUAAGAGAGGGAGCAUUCAUAGUUACUUCAGAAGAGAAUGAGGAAUCAUGUUCUAUACAAAUGAGAGAAAACAAUGGAAGAAGAAAAUGGAUAAAGUUUCCUAUACAAGUAUUAUUGGUAUAGUACACAAUAACAUGUAUAAGUAAAAUUAUCCAUUUUGUGAUAAGAGUUGUAAAGUGUUACUAGUUCAACCACUAUGAGCAACACUCAAAAGCUGUGAAGUAGAUCUUCAAAUACUUGAAAGGCACUGUUGUCAAAUAAAUUGAGUUUAUAGCAUGUAUUGUAAUAAUACAAGAGGCUACAUGACCAAGAAGUUUCAUGGAACACUUUGGAUUUUUAAAUGAAAAUUCAAAUCCAAUGUAAAUGUGUAUAAUAACACUAUAGCCAUUGCUAUGCAAGGAUCCAAGUAUUAUAACAAGACUGAAAAUAUGAAUGCAAAUUAUAACUUUGUAUAAAAAGUUAUAGCAUAGAUAGUCGUAUUUAUACAAUUAAUUCCUACACAGUGUGCGAUAAGAAAUCCCCUUAGAAAUCUUAUAGUCAAGAAAAUGUAUAUAAAAUAUGUUAAGUUCUUUAAUUGGCAUGUAAAGGAAAUGAUAUAACAUACAUUCAGUAUCAAUUUGAUGAAAAUUAUUUCAUCAUUGCUUCAUAUGUAUAUGUGAAAGUAUAUAAUAUCUAGCAUGUCAUAUAGGUUGGUAAGGUUGGCUCUCAUACAAGAGCAAUUGCCUUUGACACUCAAGAGGAGCGGGCAAAGAUAAGUCAUAUGUGUUUACCAGUAAGGCAGCAAGAGUGUUGAUAUGGUAGAGAAGAAACACGAAAUAUAUGUCAUCUCAACAUAAAAUAAAGAGUAUGUUAAGAUGAGAUCCAUAAUAUAUAUAUAUGAUCAUGGAUUCUCACAUAUGUGAUAUCAGUAGCUAAACAACAAAUUCAUCGAGUUUGAUGUCAUAUGAGAUGAGUAGAAGAAUUUGGGUCUAGAUACUAUGUGUAUCUAGACUUAAGUCUAUACGGUGUUAACAAUAAAAACAAAAUGACAUACACUCUUAUAAAAUAAGAGUAACACUAUAACAUGUGAUUCAUACUAUAUGUGCUUAAGAAUUGCAAUUAGGAAGCAAGUGAAUAAAUCCUUACUUCAUUACUAUGUGAGUCCUAGGAAGGAAUAAUCCUUUCAUUGAUGUCCUUUGACUUUGACAAUAUUAUGGUGGUAAAAUGCAGUACUUGCUAUUUUAUCAUAUGUCCUAUGAUCAUGAUAGAUGUGAUCUGUAGGUAAUGUGCUAUGAAAGCAACUAUCUCUUGUUACAAUGAUAUAUGAGCGAAAGAAAGAUUAUCUAAUAUAUACAUGCCUAUACUAGCUAGUGUGUGAGACUAGUCCCUUAUGGUAUCAUUUUGCAGAUUUCAUAAGUGUGGACAUUUUACAUACAAGAAAGGCAAUUUGAGUCUUAUAUUGACUCAAGAGGGAUUAGAUUAGCUAAGAGAAAAGUGUAUAUAAGAUAAAUGUAGAACAUCCAUGGCGUAAUGUCAAUAUAACCACAAAUCAGCUUUAGGGUUAUUUUAUGAUAGCUUGUAAUUAGAUUUCUAGUACAAAUCCCUAAAAUGGAAACGUUAAGUUUAUUAGGUCAUCACAAAGCACUUUGUAUGAAAAAAAGGGAGAGAAUGAGACAAGACCGGUGAUAUUUUAUCCACCACGUAUUAGUGGGAGAUGUUAGAUUAUCCAACCUUAGUAGAUCAAGCCCAAUAUAAGCCUAUGGGGCUUUAUAAGUUCGGGUCUUUGUAUAUGAUAAACUAAAGUUCUUGAGUGUGAUUUUCUCCUGUCAUUUGAAUGAACGAGGGAACGAUUUACACAACCAUAUAAUGGAUGCUCCACUUAUCACAUUGUGGGUGAGUGACAUAUGAGGAUAGAAAAAAAACUGAAUUAUCAUUUUUUUAAUGAAUGAUGGUCUGAGUGUUCUCUCUUUUGUCUCCUUUUUUAUGUGUUUUUGUUGUGUACUAGAAUUGAGUUCAAAAGAGUAACUUUGUUUCAGCAUAUGGCCAAGCCACAGAUGCAGCUCAUAAGAUCGACAAUCUUCAAUCUUCUCAAAAAUGGAGUUCGUCGAUGGCAAAUGGGUUCCACAAGACACUAGGAGUUUCCAUUAACUUCAAUCUUCCUCACUUAAUCUUGAUUGACCAUACAACUACAACUUUUCGCUCCCAAUGGUCAAGAGAACGCCUUCAAUCUUCCACUGAAUAGAAUCCAACGACUCAAUUCUAGUGAAGGGCAAGUGUAACUUUGUUUCUUUAUGAGCGAUGGAGAGUCGCACGCAUGGUGAUCCUUCUUUUCCACUUGAGGUAAUUUCAUCAUUUGAUUUAAAACAUUAAUGUCACUUAAGGCCUUUGGGCCUGCUGAAGAAAAUCAAAAUUCUUUGGGCUUUAACUGAUAUUAUGAUGCUUCUGAGGGCCUUGGAUGCAAUUCUCCCAGUCUAAAAUCACAAGUAGAAAGAAAGAUAUUGUAAUAACCCAGAAAGAAAAAAAAAAUUUAAUAAUAAUUAGAGAUAGAAGUUUGCAUUUUAAUGGUAAUCAUAUUAAUUCUUGGAAGAAAUACAACAAUAUGGGGUGUUGGUGUAGUGGUAUAAUUCAAGCAACCUAACCAUUAAGUCCCAAGUUCGAAUCUGGCUGAGACAAAAGAGGGAUUUUAUUUUGUUUUUGCUUUCCAAAAUUAUCAAACUGCCCCUCUUUAAUCUGAUAAAAAAAAUUCAUCCCUUUUUCGAUCAUUCCAGAUUUGUUAAAUGCUCUGUGUCAUGCUUCAUUCCUUUACUCUUCCUCUGUGUCUCUGCUUCCUUCCCUUGCGUCCUUAAUCAUUGCCGGCGUGAGCCUUUACUGUCAAUCUGUCCAUAGCUAGCCGGAGGAGAGCUCGUUUUCUUGUUGCUGAACGCCAGUGAAAAUCUUUUUUUUUUUCUUCUUCCUCCCUGUUCGAGCUUAUAGCAUAUCAUUGGGUGAGUGUUUUGUCUUCCUCUUUUCCUUGCUUAGCUGGAGCUCCCUGUUCGGUUGGCAAUCUUUUGAUCUCUCCCUCUUUUGCUGUUUUUGGUAAUUAAGAGAAAUUAUUGAAGUGAAAUUGGAAGAGAAUGGCUUAGAUAUACAACUUGAAUAUUGGUGCUUAUGAGAUGCUUGUUGAAAGACUUGUAAGAGGAAAUUGAACUUGACUUUUAAAUAUUUAUAGAAAUUAUUAAUUUAGAAAUUAACCUAUAGGUUUGUAAAGGAAUGUGAUUAUGAGAUUGUAUGUAGCUAUCGGAGCACUUGGAACUUGUUUGGUUAUUAGUGAAUUUGUUGAAUGUUUUAAAAUUGAAAAGGUAGAAGUAAUAUACCUAAGGUAUUUAGUGUAGAGAUUGGGAGAAAACUUCUGUUCUAAGAAAAUAGAAUGACAUGGCCAAAGUUUUAUGGAGAAAGUUAGAGGAAUGAAUAAUAAUGCUUGAACUAACUUGAAAUCAUAAAUUUGAUUUUGAAUUUUAAAUAGUGGUUGAUAGAGAUUGUGUUAUAAAUUAAAAAGUUAUUAAACUUGUAUAUAUUUAUAUUUUAUAGGGUGUGUGGAAGAAUAAGACUCUGACAAGAAUUAAAAGAAGAAUACUUUUGAGAAUUUAUAACUCCAACGUGUAAGUGAAUAGCAUUCCAUUUAAUUUAUUUUUAAUAGCCUUUUUUUAAAAUAUUUUAUUCUUAUGAAUUAUAUUAAUUUUGAAAAUUAUGAAAUAUCAAUGAAUGACAAACAAGUUCUGAUACGUGCAUUAUAUUUAUUAUUUUCAAAAGUAUAUUUCAAAGAUUGAUGAAUGUAAUUUUAUAUGAUUGUUAAGUUUUGGAAAAGUAUUGGCUAUUCAAUUACUGCAAGUUUGAUCUAGUAGUUAUAAAGUAUGAUUUUGACAAAUUUUGAGAUUUGAAACAAUUCAUGCAAGUUGGGCAUUUGAGAAUGAUAAUUUUAUUAUAGUAAUAAUUAUUAUUUUCUCGCAUGUUUAAAAUAGAAUUUUUAAGAGGACUUUAAACAGAAUACUGCUACUAACGGUAGUUUCGUUAGCUCGUAGCGUGUUGUGGUUAAUAACUAACUAGUUUAAUGUUCGUGAGUUUUGUUCUCACGUUUGUUAUUCACGGGCCUUGUCCUUGCGUUUGUUUCAUGGCUUUGAGCCGCGUUUGGUUAGUAUUAUCCUCAUAAAUUAGGUGUUAACGUUUGUAUUCGUAGCUUCAGCUGUGUUUGGUUACUUACCCUCAUGGAUUGUGUGUCCACGUUUGUUUUUAUGGUAUAAGCCGCGUUUGGUUAUUUAUCCUCGUGGACUGUGUGUCUACAUUCGUUACCUGUUCUGUUGAGUUUUGCUAAUAAAUACAUUACUCUGAUUUAUGUGUGAACAAAUGGUUUUCUGUAAGCAUGAUAAAAAUAUAUUGCUUUCAAUUUACUUUCAUUUUACGAUUAUGAUUAUGACUUCCAGACUUAUAAAUUUAUUUUGUUGAAUUAUUUUUAUUUAGUUUACACUAUUAUUAGAGUUAAUUUAAAUUUUAUAAUUUUACUUGGGAAUGCUAUUCAUUGGAAAACUUAUUUUAGCCUCAGACUUGUUAGCUGAUGCUGGCCCCACCAUUUACCUUUAAAGGGCAAUAUAACUACAGUGGGUGAAAAUUUUUGACUGGUACUGUUACUUUUGAUGUAAAUAUAUAAUUCAUAUAUCUUUUUGAUUUAAAAGAAAGAUUAGAUACUCCACAUAGAUUGUUGAUAGACUUUAUUUUGGUUUGUAUAUUGGUUGCUGGUUGGAGGGAGUUACGCUCUUGAUUUAUACUGUUAUCUAUAAAAAUUUUCUGUUGUAGAAUUUUUGGGAGAUCCUAGUUACAAGGGAGGUUUUGCCAAAAUUUCUAUAAAAACGUUGAAACUUUCUUAUGACAAUUAGCAUGAAAAAAAAUUAUUUUAACUUUCAUGUAAUUUGAUUAAUUCUUUUCUUUUCUUUUCUUUUCUUUUGUAACAUGGAAUAAAUUUUCAUUUUGAGGCCUAUGGGGAUGUGUGAGUGGUUCACACCCGUGCCGGUCAUCCUCUAUUUUCGAGGCGUGACAGAUAUUGGAAACCUAUAAUCGAAUAGUGAUAUAACUCCCUAUUACCAAGUAAAUGUGUUAAAGAAAAUAUAAUAAUGUAGAUCCUAAUAUUUUCAUUGCAUUUUGUUUUUAUUCUUAUAGUUUUGUUCUGUUGUUCUUAAUUCUUUUAGUUUGAUAAGUCUGUAACAUUAAUCCCCAUGAACUGCUUGCCCUAAUGAGUUUAAUUUCGUUGUGACUCUGCGAGUCCCUUUGCUAAUUGGUAAGAUUAUAUUAAUUACAAGUAAAUAAAUUGACCAGGUAUGAUUAAAAAACAAAAGUUAAAGGAAAAAGACUUUCUUUUGUAUUUGACUUAAACAGAAUGUGAGAAACGACUGUGAGAUACAGCAUACAUCAGUAAGGGUUAAUAAAGUUAAGGAUAUAUUAGCAAAAUUAACUUUGUUGAUGCUAGCUCAUGGCCCUUAUAUGUAUUUUUAAAAGACAAAUUAAAUUGAAUGGACUAAAGAUAAAGAAAUAAAAAUAUAAGAAUUAAAAACAAAACACAAUUAAAGUACAAGGACCAACUGUUAUAUUUUUCAUAUGUAAUAUAUACUUUCUCUGUUAAAAAAUAUAAGACAUUUUAAAUUUUUUUCAAUUAAAAUACAUCUCAA